GGGGAAUAUUGCACAAUGGGCGCAAGCCUGAUGCAGCCACGCCGCGUGUAUGAAGAAGGCCUUCGGGUUGUAAAGUACUUUCAGCGAGGAGGAAGGCAUUGUGGUUAAUAACCACAGUGAUUGACGUUACUCGCAGAAGAAGCACCGGCUAACUCCGUGCCAGCAGCCGCGGUAAUACGGAGGGUGCAAGCGUUAAUCGGAAUUACUGGGCGUAAAGCGCACGCAGGCGGUCUGUCAAGUCGGAUGUGAAAUCCCCGGGCUCAACCUGGGAACUGCAUUCGAAACUGGCAGGCUAGAGUCUUGUAGAGGGGGGUAGAAUUCCAGGUGUAGCGGUGAAAUGCGUAGAGAUCUGGAGGAAUACCGGUGGCGAAGGCGGUCCCCUGGACAAAGACUGACGCUCAGGUGCGAAAGCGUGGGGAGCAAAC
rnacentral:rRNA from 1 species